rnacentral:rRNA from 1 species
GAUGAACGCUGGCGGCGUGCUUAACACAUGCAAGUCGAACGGAAAGGCUCCUGCUUGCAGGGGUUCUCGAGUGGCGAACGCGGGAGUAACACGUGGGUGAUCUGCCCUGCACUUCGGGAUAAGCCUGGGAAACUGGGUCUAAUACCGGAUAGGACGAUGGUUUGGAUGCCAUUGUGGAAAGUUUUUUCGGUGUGGGAUGAGCUCGCGGCCUAUCAGCUUGUUGGUGGGGUAAUGGCCUACCAAUGCGUCGACGGGUAGCCGGACUGAGAGGGAGUACCGCUACAGUGGGCCUGGGGUACGGCCAGGACGGAUACGGGAGGCAGGAGUGGAAGAUAGAGCAAGAUGUGCGGAGGGCGGAAGGAGGGACGCCGGGUGGUGGAUGACUGCCUUCGGGUAAGAAAAUCCUUUCGCUAGGGCCGAAGCGUAAGUGACGGAACCAAGAGAAGAAGCACCGGCAAAUUACGU